UACGUAGGGGGCAAGCGUUGUCCGGAUUUAUUGGGCGUAAAGAGCGUGUAGGCGGUUGAUGAGGUCCGUUGUGAAAACUCGAGGCUCAACCUCGAGACGCCGAUGGAAACCAUCAGACUAGAGUCCGGAAGAGGAGAGUGGAAUUCCUGGUGUAGCGGUGAAAUGCGCAGAUAUCAGGAAGAACACCCGUGGCUAAGGCGGCUCUCUAGUACGGUACUGACGCUGAGACGCGAAAGCGUGGGGAGCGAACAGG
rnacentral:rRNA from 1 species